rnacentral:lncRNA from 1 species
CCCAACAUUCCCUCCCCAUUAUGACUUUUUAAUUGUUGUUACCGCAUGAGCGGAAAGCCCUAAAUCUCCCCUCUGCCUGUUCCCUUCUCCCGAGCUUUCCAGAUGGGACAGGGAUCCCCAGCAAACCCCAGAGCGGGGCAGAACAGUGACCCUCUGCCUUCAUUCCUGAGACCAGACAGGACACAUCUGUCGAUCCUGAGAGCACAUUGGGGAACGAGGGUAGGUCUGCUGUGCCAUAACCCUGACCUGUGUUUGUGGAGUCAAGAAUACUGACAUAUCCUUGAAGCACAAGCUCAGUAGGUGUAUAAUUCUAUACCUGCAAAUACAGCACUUGCACAGACAUGUCCGAAGUAGGAGAAGAAGGUGUGUGCUCACUGCAUCCACAUGCAGGGUUCUGUUCAGAGCGCAGGAAAAGCACCCAGCGAUUUUCAGCACUUAUUUCCAGAAGGACACCCGGAGGCGAAGCCCUGCAGAUGCCGCACUCCUCCUGGUCUACGUUUUUCUCCCGUACGUCCUGGAGCUGGGGACUGCCGCGGCCGUCCCUCUGAGCACCUCCGUCCUGGUCCGCAGCCCGGCACUGGGUGUGGUGCCGGUAGGUGACAGCCUCUCAGGGCCACCCCCUCCCGUUUCCUCCCCACCUCCGAGGAAUCCUGAGCCUUCGCUCAACGCAUAAAGCGAGGGGAAGGGAGGAGCGGGGUCUCGGGCUCCGAGAGGACGAAGAGCUGCAUUUGGGGCGGAAAGGGUGCGAAUAAGUGCGGCAAGAGACAUCUCCAGCACGGGGUGCCGGCCCCAUGGAGCGGAGCGGGCCUCCAAAGUAAAUGUAAUUCCCCCACCUGCGUUUGAUGUCUCCCCUUACUCUCCCCCCACCAGCACUGCCUCGAUACGCCGUAAAAUAAAACCGAAACGAA